rnacentral:rRNA from 1 species
UCCUGAAGUGGGGGAUAACCAUUGGAAACGAUGGCUAAUACCGCAUAACACCUACGGGUCAAAGAGGGGGACCUUCGGGCCUCUCGCGUCAGGAUAUGCCUAGGUGGGAUUAGCUAGUUGGUGAGGUAAUGGCUCACCAAGGCGACGAUCCCUAGCUGGUCUGAGAGGAUGAUCAGCCACACUGGAACUGAGACACGGUCCAGACUCCUACGGGAGGCAGCAGUGGGGAAUAUUGCACAAUGGGCGCAAGCCUGAUGCAGCCAUGCCGCGUGUUGUGAAGAAGGCCUUCGGGUUGUAAAGCACUUUCAGUCGUGAGGAAGGUAGUGUAGUUAAUAGCUGCAUUAUUUGACGUUAGCGACAGAAGAAGCACCGGCUAACUCCGUGCCAGCAGCCGCGGUAAUACGGAGGGUGCGAGCGUUAAUCGGAAUUACUGGGCGUAAAGCGCAUGCAGGUGGUUUGUUAAGUCAGAUGUGAAAGCCCGGGGCUCAACCUCGGAAUAGCAUUUGAAACUGGCAGACUAGAGUACUGUAGAGGGGGGUAGAAUUUCAGGUGUAGCGGUGAAAUGCGUAGAGAUCUGAAGGAAUACCGGUGGCGAAGGCGGCCCCCUGGACAGAUACUGACACUCAGAUGCGAAAGCGUGGGGAGCAAACAGGAUUAGAUACCCUGGUAGUCCACGCCGUAAACGAUGUCUACUUGGAGGUUGUGGCCUUGAGCCGUGGCUUUCGGAGCUAACGCGUUAAGUAGACCGCCUGGGGAGUACGGUCGCAAGAUUAAAACUCAAAUGAAUUGACGGGGGCCCGCACAAGCGGUGGAGCAUGUGGUUUAAUUCGAUGCAACGCGAAGAACCUUACCUACUCUUGACAUCCAGAGAACUUUCCAGAGAUGGAUUGGUGCCUUCGGGAACUCUGAGACAGGUGCUGCAUGGCUGUCGUCAGCUCGUGUUGUGAAAUGUUGGGUUAAGUCCCGCAACGAGCGCAACCCUUAUCCUUGUUUGCCAGCACUUCGGGUGGGAACUCCAGGGAGACUGCCGGUGAUAAACCGGAGGAAGGUGGGGACGACGUA